UUGUGGGAGUCGUAGUCUCGGAGCCACUUCCGUACAGGAGUUCCGCGUGUUAGGCAGUUUGGACGAUCCAGCACCGCGUUCUACUCAGGAGAAGCCGACCCCUCCCGCCUCUCCAGGACCCCACGAUGCCCGCCCCGCAGUGCGCCUCUUGCCACAAAGCGCGCGCCGCCCUCCGCCGUCCGCGCUCUGGCCAAGCGCUGUGCGGCGCCUGCUUCUGCACCGCCUUCGA
rnacentral:lncRNA from 1 species